GACGAACGCUGGCGGCGUGCUUAACACAUGCAAGUCGAACGGAAAGGCCCUGCUUUUGUGGGGUGCUCGAGUGGCGAACGGGUGAGUAACACGUGAUUAACCUGCCCUUGACUUUGGGAUAACUUCAGGAAACUGGGGCUAAUACCGGAUAGGAGCUCCUGCUGCAUGGUGGGGGUUGGAAAGUUUCGGCGGUUGGGGAUGGACUCGCGGCUUAUCAGCUUGUUGGUGGGGUAGUGGCUUACCAAGGCUUUGACGGGUAGCCGGCCUGAGAGGGUGACCGGCCACAGUGUGAGUGGGACGCCGGCAAGACUCCUACGGGAGGCAGCGGGAGGGGGUCUUCCGCAAUGGGCGGGAGCGUGACGGAGCAACGCCGCGGGAUAGAUGAAUGGCUUCGGAGCGUAAGACGGGGUGAUGAGGGAAGAACAAAUGGGUAAGGACCUAUGCACGUCGGGACGGGACCUAAUCAGAAAGCCACGGCUAACGACGUG
rnacentral:rRNA from 1 species